rnacentral:rRNA from 1 species
UGAGGAAUAUUGCACAAUGGGCGCAAGCCUGAUCCAGCCAUGCCGCGUGCAGGAUGACGGUCCUAUGGAUUGUAAACUGCUUUUGUACAGGAAGAAACAGUUCUACGUGUAGAACCUUGACGGUACUGUAAGAAUAAGGAUCGGCUAACUCCGUGCCAGCAGCCGCGGUAAUACGGAGGAUCCAAGCGUUAUCCGGAAUCAUUGGGUUUAAAGGGUCCGUAGGCGGUUAGAUAAGUCAGUGGUGAAAGCCCAUCGCUCAACGGUGGAACGGCCAUUGAUACUGUCUGACUUGAAUUAUUAGGAAGUAACUAGAAUAUGUAGUGUAGCGGUGAAAUGCUUAGAGAUUACAUGGAAUACCAAUUGCGAAGGCAGGUUACUACUAAUGGAUUGACGCUGAUGGGCGAAAGCGUGGGUAGCGAACAGGAUUAGAUACCCCAGUAGUCCCUGAGCGGGCUGGCAAGGCGCAU